rfam:Myotis brandtii contig259954, whole genome shotgun sequence.
AGCAGUUCUCAGGUGACGCACCCCGGAAUUGGGCUCCCUCCUCUCUGGUUCUGGGUGUGUCACGGGUGAACCAUG